rnacentral:rRNA from 1 species
CCUACGGGUGGCAGCAGUGAGGAAUAUUGGUCAAUGGACGGGAGCCUGAACCAGCCAAGUCGCGUGAAGGAUGACGGCCCUACGGGUUGUAAACUUCUUUUAUAUGGGAAUAAAACAGGGUACGCAUACCCUCUUGUAGGUACCAUAUGAAUAAGGAUCGGCUAACUCCGUGCCAGCAGCCGCGGUAAUACGGAGGAUCCGAGCGUUAUCCGGAUUUAUUGGGGUUAAAGGGAGCGUAGGCGGACUGUUAAGUCAGGUGUGAAAGGGCGGGGCUCAACCGGCGAAGUGCAGUUGAAACUGGCGGGCUGGAGUAGGGGAGAAGUAGGCGGAAUGCGUGGUGUAGCGGUGAAAUGCUUAGAUAUCGCGAAGAACUCCGAUUGCGAAGGCAGCUUACUGGACCGAAACUGACGCUGAGGCUCGAAAGCGUGGGUAUCGAACAGGAUUAGAUACCCCGGUAGUC